rnacentral:lncRNA from 1 species
GUGCCCCCAGGCGCUCUGCAGGGUGGGCUGCAGGGAGGUGCUGGCACCUGGGCAGUUCCCAUGGCAGCGUCUGACAUGGCUCUGGCAGCUGGGAGUAGGGGCGGAGUUUGGGGACCCAAAGAAGGGCGCUUUGUGAGUGGCUGGUUCCCUUGGCAACCGCGGGGCACCUCCGCGGCAGCCAGAACUCAGUAGCCUAGGCUAGAACUGACUAUGCCUGUAACCAGGAGCAGAGUACCUUUAGAGAAGCAGCAUUUCCACCACCAGCAUGCCUAAAUAUUUCCUGGAAGCAAACAUUUUUUCAGCAUCUGCAUGCCAAAUAUUGUGGUAGAUAUUGGGCCCUCUCCUGGCAGGGCUCCCAAUCCCAGAGGGUGAGCUAAACACGUAUCUGUGACACAGAGACCAUGCCAUCUCUGCUAGCAGGAAAGAGGAGGGCAGGAUGCAGGUUGACAAGGUUUCAAGAUUUUCCCAACUGGUUUUGAAAGGCAACCUGUGGAGUAUUUCACAAAUGAGAAAACAGAGGUUCCAAAAGUUACUGGAAUCCAUGUUCUUACCUUCUUCCUGGUAGAUAUGAAGAGGAAGCAGUGUGGGCCACUUCAAAGGCCUGGUCUCGUCCUGUCUGCCUGGCUGGGAUUGCAGUGUUCCCUGAGCAGUCUUGGAAGUGACUUAAUGAGUUGGCAAAGGCUCUGUCAGUCCGAGUCCCUAGAUGACCAUCCUAGGGAGGACUGCUCCACCUACCUCUUGCCCAGCCCAGAACUAUGAACUGAACAGGAAAUAAACUCCCAAUGUGAUUA